rfam:Polynucleobacter sp. MWH-TH35A chromosome, complete genome
AGGAGCUUUUUCCUUCUAGAGCCCUAUAUGGCUGGGUAUUCAAGGGUUUACGAGCAGAAAUGGUAUGAUUACAGGGUUCGAAACUAAUUAAAUACCCUAGCGCUUAAAGACACUCACCUCCCGCCAAAAACAUCCUCGGGUUGGUCUUUUUUGAGGGUUUUGAGCGUCGGAUGGAGCAGGGACUGGAGAUGGUUUGUCACCC